UACGAAGGGGGCUAGCGUUGCUCGGAAUCACUGGGCGUAAAGCGCACGUAGGCGGACUCUUAAGUCGGUGGUGAAAUCCUGGAGCUCAACUCCAGAACUGCCUUCGAUACUGAGAGUCUCGAGUCCGGGAGAGGUGAGUGGAACUGCGAGUGUAGAGGUGAAAUUCGUAGAUAUUCGCAAGAACACCAGCGGCGAAGGCGGCAUCCUGGACUGGUCCUGACACUCAGGAGCGAAAGCGUGGGGAGCGAUCCGG
rnacentral:rRNA from 1 species